UUUCCGUAGGUGAACCUGCGGAAGGAUCAUUAAUGUAACCGGACCGUUCCUUUGCCGUAAAACGCACUGGAUUGGAAAGGGAGAUAUCAUACACCCUAUGUUUAUUUACUUUUGCUGCUUUGGUGGGCCGUCCUUUACGGCGUCAGCCUCGGCUGAUCGCGCCCGCCAGAGGACCCAAACUCUUUUAUUAGUGAUGUCUGAGUACUAUAUAAUAGUUAAAACUUUCAACAACGGAUCUCUUGGUUCUG
rnacentral:misc_RNA from 1 species